AGUAAAUUAUGCAAAUUAUUUGUUUUACUGCAUAGAGACAAAUCAAUUGAAGCAGUGUUUACAAACCAUACAGCAACUGCUACAUGAGUGUUAAAAACUGUUGAUUGAAAGAUGGCAUGCAAUGAACGUUUGUCAGAAUUAGAAAGAGGUAAAAUUAUUGUAUUAAAGGAAGAAGAUUAUUCUGCAAGACAAACUGCUAGGAGAUUGAAUCAUUCACAUACCAUUAUCAAUAAUUUUUUACAACUAAAAGAUAAAUGUGAAACGAAAAGGUCGCCUGCAGAAGUUAACAAACUGGCAAAAAUGAUUUGUUGUUUGUGCAGUUUCUCAACAUAAUUACUCUUCACGACAGAUCUCAUGCGGCAAAGACAUAUCCGUAUCCAAAUCAACAGUUGGCAUAGUGGUAUCAUUAUGCUCAUACCUGCAAUAUAAGAAAAGAAAACCUACUCUUUCACUGACAGCAUGCAAUAAAGACAAAUACUUAAAAUGAAUAAAAAGUAAGAUGAUGUGGACAAAAUCUUGGAGGGAAAUCAUUUGGAGUGA
rnacentral:lncRNA from 1 species